AGGUGCUUGCACCUUUCAAGCGAGUGGCGAACGGGUGAGUAACACGUGGAUAACCUGCCUCAAGGCUGGGGAUAACAUUUGGAAACAGAUGCUAAUACCGAAUAAAACUUAGUAUCGCAUGAUAUCAAGUUAAAAGGCGCUACGGCGUCACCUAGAGAUGGAUCCGCGGUGCAUUAGUUAGUUGGUGGGGUAAAGGCUUACCAAGACGAUGAUGCAUAGCCGAGUUGAGAGACUGAUCGGCCACAUUGGGACUGAGACACGGCCCAAACUCCUACGGGAGGCUGCAGUAGGGAAUCUUCCACAAUGGGCGCAAGCCUGAUGGAGCAACGCCGCGUGUGUGAUGAAGGCUUUCGGGUCGUAAAGCACUGUUGUAUGGGAAGAAAUGCUAAAAUAGGGAAUGAUUUUAGUUUGACGGUACCAUACCAGAAAGGGACGGCUAAAUACGUGCCAGCAGCCGCGGUAAUACGUAUGUCCCGAGCGUUAUCCGGAUUUAUUGGGCGUAAAGCGAGCGCAGACGGUUGAUUAAGUCUGAUGUGAAAGCCCGGAGCUCAACUCCGGAAUGGCAUUGGAAACUGGUUAACUUGAGUGUUGUAGAGGUAAGUGGAAUUCCAUGGGGUAAC
rnacentral:rRNA from 1 species